UACGGAGGGUGCAAACGUUGCUCGGAAUUAUUGGGCGUAAAGCGCACGUAGGUGGUUCGAUAAGUCGGAUGUGAAAUCCCUCGGCUUAACCAAGGAAGUGCAUACGAUACUGUCGGACUUGAGUACCGGAGGGGACUGCGGAAUUCCCGGUGUAGAGGUGAAAUUCGUAGAUAUCGGGAGGAACACCAGUGGCGAAGGCGGCAAUCUGGACAGAUAUUGACGCUGAUGUACGAAAGCGUGGGGAGCAAACAGG
rnacentral:rRNA from 1 species